UGCGCAGGCGGUUAUAUAAGACAGAUGUGAAAUCCCCGGGCUCAACCUAGGAACUGCAUUUGUGACUGUAUAGCUAGAGUACGGCAGAGGGGGAUGGAAUUCCGCGUGUAGCAGUGAAAUGCGUAGAUAUGCGGAGGAACACCGAUGGCGAAGGCAAUCCCCUGGGCCUGUACUGACGCUCAUGCACGAAAGCGUGGGGAGCAAACA
rnacentral:rRNA from 1 species